rnacentral:rRNA from 1 species
CCUACGGGUGGCUGCAGUGAGUAAUAUUGGUCAAUGGCCGGAAGGUUGAACCAGCCAAGCCGCGUGAAGGACGAAGGUGCCAAGCAUUGUAAACUUCUUUUGUCAAGGGACAAAAUCAGGCGCGAGAGCCUGACCGAGGGUACUUGAAGAAACAGCAUCGGCUAACUCCGUGCCAGCAGCGGCGGUAAUACGGAGGAUGCGAGCGUUAGCAGGUUUUAUGGGGUUUAAAGGGUGCGUAGGCGGGCUGUUAAGUCAGCGGUAAAAGCCGGGGGCGCAACCCCGGCGAGCCGUUGAAACUGGCUGUCUUGAGAUGUCGAGAGGUAUGCGGAAUGCGCAGUGUAGCGGUGAAAUGCUUAGAUAUUGCGCAGAACUCCGAUUGCGAAGGCAGCAUACCGGCGGCGAUCUGACGCUGAGGCACGAAAGCGUGGGUAUCGAACAGGAUUAGAUACCCCGGUAGUC